GAUCCUGGCUACAGAACGAACGCUGGCGGCAUGCCUAACACAUGCAAGUCGAACGAGACCUUCGGGUCUAGUGGCGCACGGGUGCGUGACGCGUGGGAAUCUGCCCUUGGGUUCGGAAUAACAGUUAGAAAUUGACUGCUAAUACCGGAUAAUGUCUUCGGACCAAAGAUUUAUCGCCCAGGGAUGAGCCCGCGUAGGAUUAGCUAGUUGGUGAGGUAAAGGCUCACCAAGGCGACGAUCCUUAGCUGGUCUGAGAGGAUGAUCAGCCACACUGGGACUGAGACACGGCCCAGACUCCUACGGGAGGCAGCAGAGGGGAAUAUUGGACAAUGGGCGAAAGCCUGAUCCAGCAAUGCCGCGUGAGUGAUGAAGGCCUUAGGGUUGUAAAGCUCUUUUACCCGGGAUGAUAAUGACAGUACCGGGAGAAUAAGCCCCGGCUAACUCCGUG
rnacentral:rRNA from 1 species